rnacentral:lncRNA from 1 species
CCAAAACUUAGGAUGAAAAAAAAAUCGCAACAAGAAGGAUCUUUUGGUCAAAUGGUACACUAUUAGCCAUAUUUUUAUCAUUUAGCAUUAUUUUUUGGCAUAAAUGCUGUCAGAAAGAAAUAUUCCAACAUUUUUUUUCAAAAUGGCGGAUCUCCUGAAAAACAACGCUCGUACAUCCUUAAGUCAGCUGGAUUUCUUCCUCACCUGAAGAAUUCAACGCCGAGAGUCGGGCUCGAUCCUAAAUCAGUGGGAAGUCAGCGACCUUAACCACUCGGCCACGGAGACAUCCGGUUUAUGUUUUAUGACCUACCUAUACUUCAACACUUUUGCUUGGCUGAAGUCUUACUUCAAGUAGAAAAACGUGAAAAUAUAUUUCUUACAUUAUGUAAUAAAACGAUUUCUGAAUGCCUUUUUUGCCAAUAGUUGAAACUAUACAAAAAUGUGUUUGCGACAUCGGGCAAUAGUUUUAACUAUCGACCUGCAAGUCAUUCAAUGAAUGCAUAAUAUCGUUUUCACUGCAUGCGGCAGUAUCGGUUUGCCAUACAAUUUGAUUUAAUUAUUUUUAUACCUUCGAUGCAAGAUUGACCUUUACUGUCCAUUUUUCCAAAGUACAGAAUACAUAAGUGGACAGACCUUGCUUGACAGAAGCAAAGUGUCCUUGCUGCAGGCCGAGUCUAGAAUUUCGUGUUAUCUUCAUGAUCCGCAAAAUCGAGUUCACGCGAAGCUCUGAAGUCCUUAUAAAAGCAUCAGCUCUGAAAAUAUGGAUCAUUAUUGGAAUAAGACUUGAACGUGCGUUGAGCUUAGAUUAAAACUAGCGGAAAUAUUGGUGAGACGUCAUGGAUCCACUGCAACACGUAUUUUGGAUAGUCUGUGUGGUGUUAAGUUUGAACCUUUGUCUCGCAUUUCCAAUGUGGUAUGGUCAUCCGGUCUUCGUAGGAGGUUACCGACGUAACGGAAACUGGUGGGGAAAUUAUGACGGAGAUGGGGGAUUCUUCAAUGGUUGGGGGAUAACUGGACCACACGCAGUGGAUGAAAUAGAUAAAACUGACUUCUCGUAUUAACACGAUAUUUCCGUUGCUAUGGUUGCAUUAUUCUUUUGUGAAAGUGUCGUGAUUAUGAAUAAAGUUGAUU